AGCGAACGCUGGCGGCAGGCUUAACACAUGCAAGUCGAACGCCAUCUUCGGAUGGAGUGGCAGGCGGGUGAGUAACGCGUGGAAACAUACCUUUUGCUUCGGAAUAUUCCCGGGAAACUGGGAGCAAUACCGAAUACGCCCUGAGGGGAAAGAUUUAUCGGCAAAAGAUUGGUCCGCGUUAGAUUAGGUAGUUGGUAGGGUAAUGGCCUACCAAGCCUACGAUCUAUAGCUGGUCUGAGAGGAUGAUCAGCCACAUUGGGACUGAGACACGGCCCAAACUCCUACGGGAGGCAGCAGUGGGGAAUAUUGGACAAUGGGCGAAAGCCUGAUCCAGCCAUGCCGCGUGAAUGAUGAAGGCCUUAGGGUUGUAAAAUUCUUUCACCGGGGACGAUAAUGACGGUACCCGGAGAAGAAGCCCCGGCUAACUCUGUGCCAGCCGCCGCUAAAA
rnacentral:rRNA from 1 species